UACGUAGGGUGCGAGCGUUAAUCGGAAUUACUGGGCGUAAAGCGUGCGCAGGCGGUUCGUUGUGUCGGCGGUGAAAGCCCCGGGCUUAACCCUGGGAAUGGCCGUCGAAACUGGCGAACUGGAGUGUGGCAGAGGGGGGUGGAAUUCCGCGUGUAGCAGUGAAAUGCGUAGAUAUCAGGAGGAACACCGAUGGCGAAGGCAGGUCUCUGGGCUGAGAUUGACGCUCAGGCACGAAAGCGUGGGGAGCAAACAGG
rnacentral:rRNA from 1 species